GCCAGACUCCUACGGGAGGCAGCAGUGGGGAAUAUUGCACAAUGGGGGAAACCCUGAUGCAGCAACGCCGCGUGGGUGAAGGAGCGUUUCGGCGCGUAAAGCCCUGUCAGCGGGGAAGAAGCAAGACGGUACCUGACUAAGAAGCCCCGGCUAACUACGUGCCAGCAGCCGCGGUAAUACGUAGGGGGCGAGCGUUAUCCGGAUUCACUGGGUGUAAAGGGAGCGUAGACGGCCAAGCAAGCCAGGGGUGAAAGCCCGGGGCCCAACCCCGGGACUGCCCUUGGAACUGCAUGGCUGGAGUGCGGGAGGGGCAGGCGGAAUUCCUGGCGUAGUGGUGAAAUGCGUAGAUAUCAGGAGGAACACCGGCGGCGAAGGCGGCCUGCUGGACCGCGACUGACGUUGAGGCUCGAAAGCGUGGGGAGCGAACAGGAUUAGAUACCCCAGUAC
rnacentral:rRNA from 1 species